UGAGACCUGAUGCCGAGCCGAUUGUGGUGAAGUGGAUGAUCCUAUGCUGUCGAGAAAAGCCUCUAGCGAGUUUCAUGGCGGCCCGUACCCUAAACCGACUCAGGUGGUCAGGUAGAGAAUACCGAGGCGUUCGGGUGAACUAUGGUUAAGGAACUCGGCAAAAUGCCCCCGUAACUUCGGGAGAAGGGGGGCCACGCCUGGUGAUGAGUCUUGCACUCUGAGCUGGGGGUGGCCGCAGAGACCAGCGAGAAGCGACUGUUUACUAAAAACACAGGUCCGUGCGAAGCCGUAAGGCGAUGUAUACGGACUGACGCCUGCCCGGUGCUGGAACGUUAAGGGGACCGGUUAGCUCCAUUUCGGUGGGGCGAAGCUGAGAACUUAAGCGCCAGUAAACGGCGGUGGUAACUAUAACCAUCCUAAGGUAGCGAAAUUCCUUGUCGGGUAAGUUCCGACCUGCACGAAUGGCGUAACGACUUCUCGACUGUCUCAACCAUAGGCCCGGUGAAAUUGCACUACGAGUAAAGAUGCUCGUUUCGCGCAGCAGGACGGAAAGACCCCGGGACCUUUACUACAGUUUGAUAUUGGUGUUCGGUUCGGCUUGUGUAGGAUAGGUGGGAGACUGUGAAGCUUGGACGCCAGUUCAGGUGGAGUCGUCGUUGAAAUACCACUCUGGUCGUGCUGGAUGUCUAACCUGGGUCCGUGAUCCGGAUCAGGGACAGUGUCUGAUGGGUAGUUUAACUGGGGCGGUUGCCUCCUAAAGGGUAACGGAGGCGCCCAAAGGUUCCCUCAGCCUGGUUGGCAAUCAGGUGUUGAGUGUAAGUGCACAAGGGAGCUUGACUGUGAGACCGACGGGUCGAGCAGGGACGAAAGUCGGGACUAGUGAUCCGGCGGUGGCUUGUGGAAGCGCCGUCGCUCAACGGAUAAAAGGUACCCCGGGGAUAACAGGCUGAUCUUCCCCAAGAGUCCAUAUCGACGGGAUGGUUUGGCACCUCGAUGUCGGCUCGUCGCAUCCUGGGGCUGGAGUCGGUCCCAAGGGUUGGGCUGUUCGCCCAUUAAAGCGGUACGCGAGCUGGGUUUAGAACGUCGUGAGACAGUUCGGUCCCUAUCCGCUGUGCGCGUAGGAGUCUUGAGAAGGGCUGUCCCUAGUACGAGAGGACCGGGACGGACGAACCUCUGGUGUGCCAGUUGUCCUGCCAAGGGCAUGGCUGGUUGGCUACGUUCGGGAGGGAUAACCGCUGAAAGCAUCUAAGCGGGAAGCCUGCUUCGAGAUGAGGACUCCCACCCACUUGAUGGGGUAAGGCUCCCAGUAGACGACUGGGUUGAUAGGCCGGAUAUGGAAGCCAGGUGACUGGUGGAGUUGACCGGUACUAAUAGGCCGAGGGCUUGUCCU
rnacentral:rRNA from 2 species